rnacentral:misc_RNA from 1 species
GCAAACUUGGUCAUUUAGAGGAAGUAAAAGUCGUAACAAGGUUUUCGUAGGUGAACCUGCGGAAGGAUCAUUAAUGAGGGAAAAUAAACGAGGGGCGCCUUCGGGCCCGAGGACAAGAUGUCCGCCUUCAGGCGUUGUGGGGGUCGUUGACAUGCACCUCGGUGCGUGUGUUGCACGGUCCCCGCGGUGUUUGGAGUGCUUGAGUUAGCUUCUCAAGUAGGGCUCUGGCCCCUCCCUCCACCCGUGUCUACCGUACCUCUGUUGCUUCGGCGGGCCCGCCCGAGCCCUUCUCCCCGGGGAAGGGGGCAGAGGCCGCCACGGUGUUCACGCACCGGGGCCAGCGCCCGCCGGGGAAGUUAUCUGAACCCGUGAGAAUAGUUGAGAACAGUCUGAGUGGGAUCGAAAUCAGUUAAAACUUUCAACAAUGGAUCUCUUGGUUCCGGCAUCGAUGAAGAACGCAGC